rnacentral:rRNA from 1 species
CAGCAGUGGGGAAUAUUGCACAAUGGGGGAAACCCUGAUGCAGCAACGCCGCGUGAGUGAAGAAGUAUUUCGGUAUGUAAAGCUCUAUCAGCAGGGAAGAUAAUGACGGUACCUGACUAAGAAGCUCCGGCUAAAUACGUGCCAGCAGCCGCGGUAAUACGUAUGGAGCAAGCGUUAUCCGGAUUUACUGGGUGUAAAGGGUGCGUAGGUGGCAGUGCAAGUCAGAUGUGAAAGGCCGGGGCUCAACCCCGGAGCUGCAUUUGAAACUGCGCGGCUAGAGUACAGGAGAGGCAGGCGGAAUUCCUAGUGUAGCGGUGAAAUGCGUAGAUAUUAGGAGGAACACCAGUGGCGAAGGCGGCCUGCUGGACUGUUACUGACACUGAGGCACGAAAGCGUGGGGAGCAAACAGGAUUAGA